GCUCUCACUUUGGUAGCACAUACACUAAAAUGGGAAGAAUACAAAGAAGAGUAGCAUGGCCCUUGCCCAAGGAUGACACACAAAUUGGUGAAGUGUUCCAUAUUUUU